UCCUCGGUAGUAUAGUGGUCAGUAUCCCCGCCUGUCACGCGGGAGCCGGGGUUCGAUUCCCGCCGGGGAG
rnacentral:tRNA from 1 species